AACCAAUAAAAUCAAUCAUCUUCAGUUUUGAAAGACUUAGGCAACUAAGUUUUUCUUCGUGACUUCACGAAGGGCCUAUAGCUCAGUUGGUUAGAACACACGCCUGAUAAGCGUGAGGUCGGUGGUUCAAGUCCAUUUAGGCCCACCAGAGUUAUAGGUUUCGUAAGAACACAAAUUCUUUGAAAAUU
rnacentral:misc_RNA from 1 species